rnacentral:lncRNA from 1 species
UGUGGCCAGGCCCAGCCGCAGCAUGGGCUGACGUCAGCGCUUCUGUGGCUUAGAGCCGCGCACAUCUAACUUGACAGUCCGCGAGACUCGGUUUUUCAUUUUGUUUUCUUUUUGAUAUUGUUUUGUUUUGCAAAAUAUGUAUUUCUGUCAUCGCAGCGAGGCCCGCCGGUCCCAGAACCCUGUGAAGUGUUCAGACUUCGAAGCUAAAAGAAAAGCUGGGACCAAGACCACUCACUUACUUAUCUGGUUAGGAAAGUUUGAGCAGCUUAUGGGUGAACUAACCACCUCUCACUUCGUCCUCCCAGAGCCUAGGAUCCUACAGCUCGGAGCAGUGCCCACGCCGCGCACAGGACCCCAAGGACCUUCUUAGGCUGCGCCCGCCAUGUCCUACCCGCAGUUUGGAUACCCCUAUUCCUCCGCUCCUCAGUUCCUGAUGACCACCAACUCCCUGAGCACGUGCUGCGAGUCGGGCGGCCG